UUGGAGCAAAUAAAGUACACGAAGCAGUUGGAAUGAUCGAAUUUACGGUGAGCGAUUGUGAGUUAUUUCUUUCUCCUCGGUAUUCGCAACGGAUCCAAACACAGAGGAUGUAAACAAACAAAGACCACGUGGCGUUAGAAUCAAGAAUAAAGUCUUUCGAUACGCCCCUGCUCGUUCUCCAGAAUUCGCGAUUCACCGCGAGCAUGCCGUGCAGUUUUUCUGAUGUGUGAAUAACGUGGAACUAUCGGUGGAACGUGUUCGUAUGUUUCAUAACGAUAAGAUGCGUCCAGUGUUUCACGCACAUCUAUGAUUAUAAAGUGCAACGUAAUUACGUAUGCAUGUUUUACACAUAGAAUUCUGAACCGAAAGAAAGUAAUUCUACAGAUAAGAGGAAACUUUUAUCGUGUAACCGAGAUAAUAGUCGCACGGGCAUACCUAAACUCUGCAAAUAGAAACAGUGGCGACGAAACGUAAACGAACGACUGUGAAAAAGCUGCUUCUAUGUACUAACAAUUAAUAUGAAGGAUCACAUCGCGUUGCGUCAGUUUUCACACACGGUGUCGUUACGUAUGAUAGGUGAAUUAAUUAUAGCGACCAGGUCUACCUUUCAGAACAUCCAAAGCAUUUCUCCGCUUAACCAAUAUUUUGCAUUGUACUUAUGCAUGUAGCGGAGUGACGCUAUGUUAUUACGGAGUCCGCGAUCAAAACUAGGACGGAUUGUUAACGAGAUCCAGGUGUCAAUGGGUCGUGGAAAUUCGCAGGCCAAGGGUCGACAUGGUAAAUAGGAACAAUACAAGCGUAUUCGUCGAUCUAUAUUCAAAGAUGUGUCGAUUAAUGCGAAAGCUUGCUUCGAUUGCGGACGUGUUCCAUAAUAAUUGAGUCUGUAAUUCCUCGUUUCCUGUGUCGAUUGUUCUUGGGUGUUACGUCGAUCAUCAAAUAAAGACACCGAUUUCCCUGUGUUUCAUGGCUGAAGGUAACUCGUUCCUUUUAAAUUCACUUUAUUCUCAAUGUAAUUCUCCCCAAUUAUGUACAAAAAUAUAAUGAGAAUCAAUAAUCAUUACAGAGUUCGUAACAUUAGGUAGGUACAUGACGAUGUGUGCUCUUGUCUCCUCGGCCUCGCGCGAACCUCGGCUCGACACCUUUCACCGUGGCUUUUUAAAACAGUUCUCCGAAAGUGAAAGACGAUCGAUCGGUCGAUUUUCUUUCGGCGUAUACCUGUACGCGUGCAGCCAUCUUUCCAUUUCCAUCUACAGAAAGGUGUAUCAAUCGAUAAAUCCUACGGUACUAUCGUGUGAACUCGGUGUUUUCGUUUCUGUGUGCCGCGUGCGGAGAAAUGAAAGAAAUCGGUCGACUCGAGAAGGGGACUCGAUCCGUUCUUUUCGCAUUUGUAAUCGCGGAUCAUCGAACGCUGCUUAGGAAAGGAUGAAAAUUAAAAGGUGGCACUCAAGGCUUAGGGAAACAACCUUGCGUCGGAGAGUCAAUCUUACCCCUUUCUUUGACCAUUGCAAUAAUCGGUGCUCCAGAUUCGGUGCGGGGAAACCUCGCUAUUGUACUGUUCGAAGUUUCUGGAUGGUAGCUGCGACCAUUUCUAGAACGAAGUAAUAAUAGGAUUUUAUGCUUUUUAAUUCUAUUUGGUUUGGAAGACCAACGAAUAGAUCAAUGGGAUCAAGAAAAUGAUUACUAUCUACAACUUGACUACCCUCGGCAAACACGCAUUAAAUUCGGGAUACCAGUGAAGGUACAGAUUCUUAGAAAAACAGAUCUCAAAGGCCAGAAAAAAAUUGGAAGUAAAAAUGCAUGAAUCGGUGGGAUUACCGAACAAAAGUUCGAACAGUCUAAUAGAUUCUUUCUUCUGGGAUCGUCGACGCAAGGAAGUACUAAUGUCAGGUAAAAAUUAUUCUCCCAACGAACGCAGUGUACGACCACAAAGCCUCGAACAGUACAAAUCUGCAAAGAAGCCCCGAAAAUUUCGUCGAAAAAUCGUGUCGCUAGAUCUACUAAUAGUCAUCGAAAUUUCAUUAGAAAAGUGCACGACUUGGCAGAAAAGUAGCACUCGCGCGUGCACGUUUUUAGAAAAAUACGAAAGUUGUACAUCGAGAAGCAGCCUUUUUUUUUCUUUUUUUUUAAUACCGCAUUUAAUCGAAAAGGAACACGGAGAAAACGCUCGAUCGUCCGCUCGUGCGCGGCGAUUAUCAUCGACUGUGAUAAGAAAACGACAACUUUGUACAAACGCGUUGACUAAAACAUUACGAACUUUCGCUAGAAUGUACUAACCGUGUGUCUACGUCGACGUGGCUUUUAUUGUCCUCAUUGACAGACACGAGCUGGAUCGACAGAAUUGUCCAUUUGCUUUCAUUCCUGUUCUUUCCAGAACGCAGUUUAAUUUUUUUUUUUUUUUUGCGAGACUUUAACAGGUGCGAAGUUGCUUUGUCUGCUAUCUUAAGGGUAUCGUUAUAAACACGUCGGCGGAACAGAGUUCUAAUGGUACACGUUAGAACCUCCAUUAUCCAAACACAUUCUCGUGGAAUAUCUCUUUUUCGGUUGCUAGAACAUUUUAGUUUUACAUUACGAAUUAGUUGGCUGCAGGAAUAAAGCUCAGAGUCAUCCAAAGGUUGGAAGUGUCUUGGAAUGGUCAGUGGAACCAUCGGUGCCAUCGAAGAAAAGGGCUCGGAUGGCUUGAGAAUCAAAUAAAAUGUACCUCCAACACAAUCAAGAAACGUUUAAAAAGAUUUGUUAUCCGUUAUUGGAAAAUUCUAUCGAUUGGAGAAUGGAGGUUCUACCACACUAAAAGAACCGUUCACGGAACGUCCGUGCGUCGUAUCGACUCGAACAGCGAUGCGUCCAGGGCGGGAAUAGUCACUUAAAGUUUUACAAGUAACAAAGAAAAUAGAAAAAAGAAGGACCAGCGAUUUUAGCCGAUUGAUGAUCACACACUAAUGUA